GGAGAGAGGCCUGCUAGCAACCUAGAUUGCUAACCUUCGUGACCCAGGUUGGACUCCUGGGCUCUUCUCGUUG
rnacentral:tRNA from 1 species